ACUUCUCAAAAUAAUGUUGAGGCGGGCCCUAUGAAUAAUCAUAAUAAAGUUGAAGCAAACCUUGCCCGUAACACCAAAUAUGAUAUUUAGCAACGAAAUUAUUAGCUACGACAUAAAAUUCGUCAGUAAUUGUUUACUUUUUCUUGACAAAAAUUACAAUUCGUCUUUAAAUACAUCAAUCACAUGUUUUUAGUAAAUAAACACAAAAUUCUAUAGCAAAGUAUCGUCCACUAAAGGUUCCUACCAAAAAAUAAGUUGGCGCCAUUUAUUGAGUAAUAUUAGCCACAAAAUUGAAGUUAUCAGUGACAAAAUUAGUUUUGUAUGUACCCAAUUAGCGACGAACAUUGUUUGUUUUAAAUUAGUUAAAUUUUGGAUACGAAAAUUUUUGUCACGAAAAUUACGUAGUUACUAUAAC
rnacentral:lncRNA from 1 species